UACGUAGGUGGCAAGCGUUGUCCGGAUUUAUUGGGCGUAAAGCGCGCGCAGGCGGUCCUUUAAGUCUGAUGUGAAAGCCCACGGCUCAACCGUGGAGGGUCAUUGGAAACUGGGGGACUUGAGUGCAGAAGAGGAAAGCGGAAUUCCACGUGUAGCGGUGAAAUGCGUAGAGAUGUGGAGGAACACCAGUGGCGAAGGCGGCUUUCUGGUCUGUAACUGACGCUGAGGCGCGAAAGCGUGGGGAGCAAACAGG
rnacentral:rRNA from 1 species